rnacentral:lncRNA from 1 species
GUCAUGAUACCUGAAGAGACUGUACUCAUGAAGAAUCUGAGGAUACUGCAUCAAGAAAAAAGUUAAGCGAUCUUCCAGAUAUUUAAGUACAUUACAUUAAGAAAUGAAAAUUAAGUUAUGAGCUGGAGACCGGUGGUAAUUUCAGAUGUCCAGAAGCCUUAUAUAAAUGUUUUUGCUUAUUUGACUUGAGCUUGUAAAUUGUGCCUCUGUAGGCUCCUUAAGCUCCCUAUGUGGUAAAGAGGAAAGCUGUAAUGAGGAAAAGGAAAUAUUGAUGCUACAAGCAGUUUAUGCAAGACAGAAGCUCCAUCAUCUUUGAAAGGUUGUGGCAAUUGUGGAUCUUCUUGGUAUUGGGGUUGAUACUGGAGCUGAUACACUUUAGCAUCUUCAUUAAUAAUCUGGAUGAUGGAACAGAGUGCACCCUCAGCAAGUCUGCAGAUGAUACAAAAUGAGGAUGCGUUAGGGUGCAUUAGGAAGAGUGUUGCCAGCAGGUCGAGGGAGGUGAUCCUCCCCCUCUCCUCAGCCCUGGUGAGGCCACAUCU